UGUUAAAAAUGUCAUCUAUUUUUACUAUUAAAAAGUCCUUGCACAUUAGAAUAAGGUACAUGUAACUGUUUAGUUAUUCUAUAGCAAUGUCAAUUUUUAACAGUAGAAAUGAAUGAAUUUAUUACUA
rfam:Gossypium raimondii Chr05_contig_1072, whole genome shotgun sequence.